AUCGGGUAGCCUUGUUUCAGUUCUGUGUAGGACCUGAGCAACACAGGGGUUAAAAGUACCUCUGCCGUACAUGAACGAGCACGCAUCCCUCCCCAGGGAGACUGCCGUCCUGUGGGGCCCACUCGUGGAGCUGACAGC
ensembl:snoRNA